AAAGUCGUAACAGGUUUCCGUAGGUGAACCUGCGGAAGGAUCAUUAACACGUAUCCAACGUUAAAACCCCCCUGAGCCUUCAGUGCUCGGCCCGAACAGUUUUGAUUCAUCAACCCUGUGCAUGAAAACGGGCCUGCUUAAAUGUGGGAACAACUGUUAACAAUGGAUAUCUUGGUUCUC
rnacentral:misc_RNA from 1 species